rnacentral:rRNA from 1 species
GACGAACGCUGGCGGCGUGCUUAACACAUGCAAGUCGAACGGUAAGGCCCUUCGGGGUACACGAGUGGCGAACGGGUGAGUAACACGUGGGUGAUCUGCCCUGCACUUCGGGAUAAGCCUGGGAAACUGGGUCUAAUACCGGAUAGGACUCCGGACUGCAUGGUCUGGGGUGGAAAGCUUUUGCGGUGUGGGAUGGGCCCGCGGCCUAUCAGCUUGUUGGUGGGGUGAUGGCCUACCAAGGCGACGACGGGUAGCUGGCCUGAGAGGGUGACCGGCCACACUGGGACUGAGAUACGGCCCAGACUCCUACGGGAGGCAGCAGUGGGGAAUAGUGCACAAUGGGCGCAAGCCUGAUGCAGCGACGCCGCGUGAGGGAUGACGGCCUUCGGGUUGUAAACCUCUUUCAGCAUCGACGAAGCGAAAGUGACGGUAGGUGCAGAAGAAGGACCGGCCAACUACGUGCCAGCAGCCGCCGUAA